GAUCAUGGCUCAGGAUGAACGCUAGCUACAGGCUUAACACAUACAAGUCGAGGGGCGAUCAGUUUGGUUUUGCUUGCAAACCAAAGCUGGCGACCGGCGCACGGGUGAGUAACACGUAUCCAACCUGCCUCAUACUCGGGGAUAGCCUUUCGAAAGAAAGAUUAAUAUCCGAUAGCAUAUAUUUCCCGCAUGGGUUUUAUAUUAAAGAAAUUCGGUAUGAGAUGGGGAUGCGUUCCAUUAGUUUGUUGGG
rnacentral:rRNA from 1 species